AACAAGCCUCCAUACCCCAA
rnacentral:misc_RNA from 1 species